GGCCUAUUAGCUCAGCUGGUUAGAGCGUGGUCCUAAUAAGGCCAAGGUCGAGGUUCGAGACCUGCAUGGGCCA
rnacentral:tRNA from 1 species